UGAACGCUGGCGGCGUGCCUAAUACAUGCAAGUCGAGCGAACGGACGAGAAGCUUGCUUCUCUGAUGUUAGCGGCGGACGGGUGAGUAACACGUGGAUAACCUACCUAUAAGACUGGGAUAACUUCGGGAAACCGGAGCUAAUACCGGAUAAUAUUUUGAACCGCAUGGUUCAAAAGUGAAAGACGGUCUUGCUGUCACUUAUAGAUGGAUCCGCGCUGCAUUAGCUAGUUGGUAAGGUAACGGCUUACCAAGGCAACGAUGCAUAGCCGACCUGAGAGGGUGAUCGGCCACACUGGAACUGAGACACGGUCCAGACUCCUACGGGAGGCAGCAGUAGGGAAUCUUCCGCAAUGGGC
rnacentral:rRNA from 1 species